GUGAGGAAUAUUGCGCAAUGGAGGCAACUCUGACGCAGCCAUGCCGCGUGCAGGAAGAAGGCGCUACGCGUUGUAAACUGCUUUUAACCGGGAAGAAACCCCAGGACGUGUCCUGGGUUGACGGUACCGGAGGAAUAAGCACCGGCUAACUUCGUGCCAGCAGCCGCGGUAAUACGAAGGGUGCAAGCGUUAUCCGGAUUCAUUGGGUUUAAAGGGUGCGUAGGCGGAGCGUUAAGUCAGUGGUGAAAUCCUGCAGCUUAACUGUAGACUUGCCAUUGGUACUGGAGCUCUUGAGUGCGCUUGAAGUGGGCGGAAUGUGCCGUGUAGCGGUGAAAUGCUUAGAUAUGGCACAGAACACCAAUUGCGAAGGCAGCUCACUAAGGCGAUACUGACGCUGAGGCACGAAAGCGUGGGGAUCGAACAGGAUUAGAUACCCUAGUAGUCC
rnacentral:rRNA from 1 species